rnacentral:rRNA from 1 species
CGCAGCCGCGGUAAUUCCAGCUCCAAUAGCGUAUAUUAAAGUUGUUGCAGUUAAAAAGCUCGUAGUUGAAUUUCGGGGUUAGUAGGUUGGUCAUGCCUCUGGUAUGUACUGGUCUCACUGAUUCCUCCUUCCUGAUGAACCUUAAUGCCAUUAAUUUGGUGUUUUGGGGAAUUUGGACUGUUACUUUGAAAAAAUUGAGUGUUUAAAGCAAGCUAACGCUUGAAUACAUUAGCAUGGAAUAAUGAAAUAGGACGUUCGAUCCUAUUUUGUUGGUUUCUAGGAUUGACGUAAUGAUUAAUAGGGAUAGUUGGGGGCAUUAGUAUUCAAUUGUCAGAGGUGAAAUUCUUGGAUUUAUUGAAGACUAACUACUGCGAAAGCAUUUGCCAAGGAUGUUUUCAUUAAUCAAGAACGAAAGUUAGGGAUCGAAGACGAUCAGAUACCGUCGUAGUCUUAACCAUAACUAUGCCGACUAGGGAUCGGAUGAUGUUAAUUUUUAAUGUACUCAUUCGGCGCCUUACGG